rnacentral:rRNA from 1 species
UACGUAGGUGGCAAGCGUUAUCCGAAUUUACUGGGUGUAAAGGGCGUGUAGGCGGGAGAGCAAGUCAGACGUGAAAUUCCAGGGCUCAACCCUGGAACUGCGUUUGAAACUGUUCUUCUUGAGUGAUGGAGAGGCAGGCGGAAUUCCGUGUGUAGCGGUGAAAUGCGUAGAUAUACGGAGGAACACCAGUGGCGAAGGCGGCCUGCUGGACAUUAACUGACGCUGAGGCGCGAAAGCGUGGGGAGCAAACAGG